GAUGAACGCUGGCGGCGUGCCUAAUACAUGCAAGUCGAGCGAACAGACGAGGAGCUUGCUCCUCUCACGUUAGCGGCGGACGGGUGAGUAACACGUGGAUAACCUACCUAUAAGACUGGGAUAACUUCGGGAAACCGGAGCUAAUACCGGAUAAUAUAUUGAACCGCAUGGUUCAAUAGAGAAAGACGGUUUUGCUGUCACGUAUAGAUGGAUCCGCGCCGCAUUAGCUAGUUGGUAAGGUCACGGCUUACCAAGGCAACGAGGCGUAGCCGAGCUGAGAGAGUGAUCGGCCACACUGGAACGUGGACACGGUCCAGACUCCUACGGGAGGCAGCAGUAGGGAAUCUUCCGCAAUGGGCGAGAGCCUGGCGGAGCGACGCCGCGUGAGUGAUGAAGGUCUUCGGAUCGUAAAACUCUGUUAUUGGGGGAGAACAAAUGUGGAAGUAACUAUGCACGGCUUGACGGUACCUAGUCAGAAAGCCACGGCUAACUACGUG
rnacentral:rRNA from 1 species